CCAAAAACAACUUUAGGUGAGUACAUUUGACAAUUUUGAUUAAAUAAAAGCAAAAGUUUGUAAAAUAAAAAAAAGAUUUUGAUAAAAUAUCUUUAUUGCCUUUCUUAUAAGUAGGGGUGAGAUCGGGACGGGUGAUGUGGCUCUGCUCCGUCUGGAUAUCUUAGUAUCCUGCUUUGGUCAAAUUUCUUAGUAUCCUGCCUUGGUGACCAGGGCGACCCACCCUACAAAAUAAAUCAAUUGUUUUUGUGUGUUGAAUUUUUGUAAACCUAUUUAAUAAAUUUUCUUAAUUAAAAUAUUCAUUGAUAUUAAAAUAUUCAAAAUCCAUUGAUAAAAGAAAACAUUAAUUGUAAAUAAAUAUUGUAGGAAAUAAAUAUUACUAAAUAUGCAAACAAGAGUAGGGUAAAUCUCACCAGACUAGGUAGAGGUGAGAACGGGACCCGUCUCAGAAUAAAAAAAAAUUCAGAAUCUUCUCUCGCAAGUCGCAAAGUCGUAAAAAUUCUCUCCCCACCCUUCUCUUUGUCAUUAAUUAUUUUGAAAUCCCAAAUCCCAAAAAUUAAGACAGACAAAACAAAAGGGAUACCAUCAUACCAAUCCCACUCACUGGCGUCAUUGCUACAUUCCUACUGCCGCUUUUCGUCUCCGGAGAGAUUCGAAGAAACUUUUCCUUUCCAUCCUCGGUACCUCCGGCAGUUGUGCCUUCCACAGUAAGAAACUAAGAGACUCUCCUUUCUCUCUCUCUGCGUUUUCGACUGGGAGAUUUCUGAUAGGAUCGUUGGUUGAUGGAAAUUCUACAUGUUGUAUAGCUUUUUCUUUCCUUUUUUUUUCGAAUUAUUUUCGGUCGUUUCUAGAUUCGGGAUGUGGGAGUGCUGGACGGUGAUCCUUGUGUGUUCCCAAGCUAGGGCGCCGAUUAU
rnacentral:lncRNA from 1 species